UCCGCGCCGACAAUGUAGCGGGGCUCAAGUACACCGCCGAAACCGUGGCAUUCAGUUUUGCUGGAUGGGUAGGGGAGCGUCGUUCACGAGGUGAAGCCAGCGGGUAACUUCUGGUGGAUUGUGGACGAGUGAGAAUGCAGGCAUGAGUAGCGAAAGACGGGUGAGAAACCCGUCCGCCGAAUAUCCAAGGGUUCCAGGGUCAAGCUAAUCUGCCCUGGGUAAGUCGGGACCUAAGGCGAGGCCGACAGGCGUAGUCGAUGGACAACGGGUUGAUAUUCCCGUACCGGCGAA
rnacentral:rRNA from 11 species